rnacentral:misc_RNA from 1 species
GCUCACUCUGCUGCUCUACAC